rnacentral:rRNA from 1 species
CCGACGACCGGCGCACGGGUGAGUAACACGUAUGCAACCUGGCCGUGACAGAUGGAUAACCGGGAGAAAUCCCGCCUAAUACAACAUAAUGCCGGGAGGGGACAUCCCCUGCCGGCCAAAGGGGGCGACCCCGGUCACGGAUGGGCAUGCGGCGCAUUAGGUAGUUGGUGGGGCAACGGCCCACCAAGCCGACGAUGCGUAGGGGUUCUGAGAGGAAGGUCCCCCACAUUGGAACUGAGACACGGUCCAAACUCCUACGGAAGGCAGCAG